UUUUUCGCCCCGCCCUUCAAAUGCGAAAGCGACUGCCUUCUUGGAACACUCAAAACUAGCAUCUGAUGAAUGCCUACAUUCAGUCCACAAAGCAACAAUUGUCUGAACUAAGCCCUGCAAAGGAUGAAUAGAGACAGAACAACAGGACUUAGUAACUGAUGAUGGAGUUGGAGGAGAGGAAAGAAUCAAGCUGAUGUCCAGGUUUCAGGGGAACUGAUGGUGCCAUUCACUGAUACAGGGAACAUAAGCAGAGGUUCAGGGUCCUAUUUUUCCCUCCACUUUAAUGAGACCGAUCACUCUUCUAAAAACUAAGCCAGUUCCUUCAAAUUUAACAUGUGAUGAUUAAAAAGAAAUGGCUGGGUUCCGUUCCAAGAUAGCUGAAUAGGAACAGCUCUGGUCUGCAGCUCCCAGAGUGAUCGACGCAGAAGACGGGUGAUUUCUGCAUCACCAACUGAGGUACCUGAUUCAUCUCACUGGGACUGGUUGGACAGUGGGUGCAGCCCACGGAGGGCAAGGUGAAGCAUGACAGGGCGUCGCCUCACCCAGGAAGCACAAUGGGUCGGGGGAUUUUCCUUUCCUAGCCAAGGGAAGCUGUGACAGACUGUACAUGGAAAAUCAGUACACCCCGCCCAAACACUGUGCUUUUCCCACAGUCUUAGCAAAUGGCAGACGAGGAGAUUGCUCUCCCAUGCCUGGCUCAGCGGGUCCCAUGCCCAUGCAGCCUUGCUCACUGCUAGCGCAGCAGCUGGAGAUCGACCUGCAAGGCUGCAGCCUGGCGG
rnacentral:lncRNA from 1 species